ACCGGGAAACCGGAGACUAAUACCGGAUAAUAUAUUGAACCGCAUGGUUCAAUAGUGAAAGACGGUUUUGCUGUCACUUAUAGAUGGAUCCGCGCCGCAUUAGCUAGUUGGUAAGGUAACGGCUUACCAAGGCAACGAUGCGUAGCCGACCUGAGAGGGUGAUCGGCCACACUGGAACUGAGACACGGUCCAG
rnacentral:rRNA from 1 species